AUACUGGGUUCAAAAAAUAUAUGGGCCACAAAAUUUCCUUCAACUUUUUGGUUUGCCAAACCAGCUAUCAAAGAAUUUUGUCUUUCUACCCCCAGUAUUGUAGUUUCUCUGACCUCAGAAAUCUAGAUCUUAGAUUCCUCAGGCUGAUUAAAUGAUGUUCAAGGCCUGUGGAUACAGGACUAGCUUAAGGGUAUAUACCAAAUAACUAGACAAAUUUGUGAGGAGAAGAACCACGCAGCGAUAAAAUCUUGAUUCUUGCCUAUGUUGUGCUGACUCCAGAUUCACAAAGAAAGCUUUAUCACCACGUAAUGUUUCUUGAACUAGAGUUGCAAUUAUUGUGAUAAAUGAGUGGAUAAACCUAACUAUUAUGUUAUUUGAAGGGGCAAUGAGAAGAGCUGAUAGACAUUCAUUCACGCGUAUUAUCAUUUUUAGACAAAAUCUGCGUGGGCAAGGAGCGAUCAGUUGGUCUUGCACAUAUUGUAGUUUCCCUGGUGCUUAAUCAAUUAGAGUAGGAAGCAAGGUCCAAAUUUCCAGCAAUAUAAGCAACACCAACUUCGAGCAUUCAUCUUUACUCUCUUUUCUGCAGGUACAGAAGAUCAAUGCUCCAGGAAUACAAUAUGUAAUCAAAACAAGAUGCAGGUCAACAUACUUGUCUGGCAGCUGCAAGG